rnacentral:rRNA from 1 species
GACGAACGCUGGCGGCGUGCUUAACACAUGCAAGUCGAACGGUAAGGCCCUUCGGGGUACACGAGUGGCGAACGGGUGAGUAACACGUGGGUAACCUGCCCUAUACACACGGAUAACGUACCGAAAGGUACGCUAAUACGGGAUAAAGUUGUUGGAUGGCAUCUUCUAACAAUCAAAGCUCCGGCGGUAUAGGAUGGACCCGCGUCUGAUUAGCUAGUUGGUGAGGUAAUGGCUCACCAAGGCGACGAUCAGUAGCCGACCUGAGAGGGUGAUCGGCCACACUGGAACUGAGACACGGUCCAGACUCCUACGGGAGGCAGCAGUGGGGAAUAUUGCACAAUGGGCGAAAGCCUGAUGCAGCAACGCCGCGUGAGCGAUGAAGGUCUUCGGAUCGUAAAGCUCUGUCCUCAAGGAAGAUAAUGACGGUACUUGAGGAGGAAGCCCCGGCUAACUACGUGCCAGCAGCCGCAGUAA